AGGGCUGCGUGCGGCGUGGGACUUCCAUGGAAGGAAGGACACGUUUGUCGUAUGUUUGUCACACGUUUGUCAAAGGACGUCUGCUUAUUCCAUAACUGUGAUGUCUUUCCUUUGGGCCCUAAGCUCUCAGUACUUUUCUUGUCCCAGGAUCUGGGAUCCAGGAGCACUUUUCGGAGUGAGACUUUAUUACAGCUAUUACCACACGGUAUGGUAACUAUUUGUUCGUCAUUCCCGCCCCCGCCCCGCCCCUUCUCUGCAAACUGAAACUUCCCGUAGGCUGGGACCUAGACUAUUUACCUUUGCACCUACAGGGCUUCUCUCCUGCUGAGACACAGGAAGAACUCAAUAAAUGGUAAAUAAAUGAA